UACGGGGGGGGCAAGCGUUGUUCGGAAUUACUGGGCGUAAAGGGCUCGUAGGCGGCCAACUAGGUCAUACGUGAAAUCCCUCGGCUUAACCGGGGAACUGCGUCUGAUACUGGAUGGCUUGAGUUCGGGAGAGGGAUGCGGAAUUCCAGGUGUAGCGGUGAAAUGCGUAGAUAUCUGGAGGAACACCGGUGGCGAAGGCGGCAUCCUGGACCGAUACUGACGCUGAGGAGCGAAAGCCAGGGGAGCAAACGGG
rnacentral:rRNA from 1 species